rnacentral:rRNA from 1 species
CGCUGGCGGCGUGCCUAAUACAUGCAAGUCGAACGCACUCUCGUUUAGAUUGAAGGAGCUUGCUCCUGAUUGAUAAACAUUUGAGUGAGUGGCGGACGGGUGAGUAACACGUGGGUAACCUGCCCUAAAGUGGGGGAUAACAUUUGGAAACAGAUGCUAAUACCGCAUAAAACCUAACACCGCAUGGUGUAGGGUUGAAAGAUGGUUUCGGCUAUCACUUUAGGAUGGACCCGCGGUGCAUUAGUUAGUUGGUGAGGUAAAGGCUCACCAAGACCGUGAUGCAUAGCCGACCUGAGAGGGUAAUCGGCCACACUGGGACUGAGACACGGCCCAGACUCCUACGGAGGCAGCAGUAGGGAAUCUUCCACAAUGGACGAAAGUCUGAUGGAGCAACGCCGCGUGAGUGAAGAAGGUUUUCGGAUCGUAAAACUCUGUUGUUGGAGAAGAAUGUAUCUGAUAGUAACUGAUCAGGUAGUGACGGUAUCCAACCAGAAAGCCACGGCUAACUACGUG